UUUAAUGGAGAGUUUGAUCCUGGCUCAGGACGAACGCUGGCGGCGUGCCUAAUACAUGCAAGUCGAGCGAGGGUCUUCGGACCCUAGCGGCGGACGGGUGAGUAACACGUAGGCAACCUGCCUGUAAGACUGGGAUAACAUAGGGAAA
rnacentral:rRNA from 1 species